CUAUUGACCUUCAAUUUGAUUUAAUGACAUAGAAAAAUAAGUCAAAUUUAUAUGUAAAACCAUUGUUUGAAUCUAUUGUGCAUGAAAGUAGAAUGUUUGCUGUUGAAGGAUUGAUAGCAGGUAUGAGCAGUUGUGAAGGAUGUAUAAUAGGACUUAUCCUAAUCAUUUGUUUGCUGUUGUGAAGCAGUGUUGUCAAAGGCGCGCUUAAGCCCUGAAGCGAGGCUCAAAACAUGUUGAGCGCUUCGCCGGGCUUUAUGUGCGCUUCAGUGUCAUCAUCAAGGCUCUAAGACAUACUUUUCCUUGCCAAUGAGCCUCUCUUGAAGAAGUGACACUAGAUAUAUGAUAUUUCACUUUAUCGUAAUGUUUUUAUAAUUUCUUUGUCCAUAAAUUUGUUAUUCAUGCUUACUGCUAUUAGUCUUGGUCUAAACAUAUAUAUAUAUAUAUAUAUAUGUAUGUAUUUUUGCACCAUUGCGCCUUUUUUCAUUAAAGCCUACACUUUAUUUGCGCUUCGCGCUUAAAGCCCCAACUGACCUUAGAGCUUUUUUGCGCUUUUCGCUUUUGAUAACACUGUUGUGAAGGAUGUAUACUGGUUUUCUCUCUGUCUCAGUUCUAUACUCAAUAGGCUCUGUUGCUGAAGCAGAGCUGGAAUAAGAUAGUUACUUUAGGAAACCCUCUUGCUUCGUAAAAGGAUUAACUCUAGCCUACAUAAAUUAGCACCCAUUUCCUUGCAGCUAUUAGCUAUUCUGAUGAAACCUCAUUUAACUGGAAGAAUAGACUAAAAGGUUGAAAACUUAAAGGUAGAUGGAGGUUCUUACAAUUUAAGUUGGUUAAUUAAGAAAUGCACUGGAAGUUCUUAGCUUUAUAUUUUUUUUGAUGACAUGGGAACCCGCAGCCGCUACCCCUCGGGUGCGCACAGGGUAAACCCAGCUCCUGUGCAAUAGCUCGCAAACCACACAGGAGAGGUAACGCACUAUAUCCCCAUUUAUUGUUGAAAUGGUGAAGAUGAAGUGUCUGGUGAAGGGUAAGUAAUCCUUAUGUUUUUCCUUAAUUUGUUGAAAGUACAAAAAUUAAGAUGGUUUAAUUUUAAUGCAGGUUCAUUCCCUCAUAUGCCGGGAAUAUGAUUACAGCAUCAUUUGAACCAUUUUUCCGUGAUGCUUGGGGUAGAUACAAGGACUUUCCAUACGAUGUUAGAAUGCUAAUGUGGGCUCAGUUUAAGGUACAUGGCAGACAAAGUGUAUUUAUGUAAUACUUGAUUUAGUGCUUUUAAAUGCAUGAAUUUGGCAUGUUGUGGAUUUUGAUUUUACUCCAGAGGGAGAACACACUGGAUGUUAACAAAAAAUGGUUUUCUCAUGUUUUCUAAAAAUCAGAAAGUUUAGAUAUGCUCCUUUUGUUUUCAUUUUUGCUUUGAAUUUUUUUUAGUUGGAGCUAUCACUGAAUAUGGUUUCUUAAAAGAAACGAAAAUCCACUUUCUGAUAGAAUAAUUGAUAUUGCACAUAAUUUUUCAUGUGUUGCAGCCUGCUGUUUGUCAGUUUUAAGAAUUCCUUUUAACAUUCAUGCUUCAUGAACUUCCUUUUCUCUUGUCCUUUGGCCCAUUCCGGGGACGCAGCUGUAAUCUUAAUUUGUCUGUGACGAAGGUCUUAAUGAUAUAAGGUUUUCAAAAAUGAGUUUUCUUCUAAUGAUAUUAGUAUUUUGCAGACAAAGUGUACAUGGCAGCCUCGUUAUGAAAAUGAAAUAAAUACCAUUUUCGAGAAGAAAGUAUCUUUGCGGAUUAAAGAACACUUGUAUAAUGCCCGAAACCUCAAAAGGGUGGUUCGUUGCACACCGGAGGUUCCAUGAGUUUCGCGGGCCACCGACGAAGAUUGCGAAAGUUAAACGGGGGAGAGGCUGUGCCUCUUUCUGAGGUCUUCGAGGAGACACAUUAGAAGAAGGAGGACAGUGCAAGAGAAGGUUGGGUCGAGUCACGUGCUAAGGAGACAUAUGAAGGAUUUCAAAAAGGUUUGGAAGAUUGGCGUCAGACCCAGCCUGCUUCAGAGGAUGGUACCGCAGUCCGACCAUCGCCUGCGGAUAUGACUUCAAUAUGGACACAGGUGGCAGGUGGUCCCAGCAAAGGUAGAGUCUACGGGCUUGGAGUUCUGCAUUCCUCAUCUAGUCCUUCGCCGUUGUUGUCUAAUGCUUCUACUUCGCAAAAUACGGAAGAAAUGGAAGCGAUGCAAAGCCGAAUUGCAGAGCUGAAGCAAAAGUGUGAAACUUCCGAUGCUAAGCUUGCUAAAAUUGAGAAGUUUAUGAGGAAGCACAUGCCUCAAAUGUCUGAUGAUGAGGAAGAGACCGAAUCCGAUGACAAUUAGAUUGUAGUUGCUGGUUAUUGUUUUUUAUUGUGACUUUAGACUUUUUAGACUUUAAGUUUCAUGUAGUUGUUGGUUUGGGAUGUUUAAACUAUUUCGAAUUUGAUGUUUCAAAUGUUUAGACUAUUUCUUCAUGUUUGAUUGGUUGCUUUAACUGUUAUAGUUGUUUGGUUGAAUUCUUAGGUUCUAUAGUAUAGUGUUUGCAAGCAGGUGCAGCUAAUAAAAUAGCAAUUUGCUGUAAA